AGAUUUUGCCCCGAGUCAAGUUCUGUAGCACGGGCUCCGGUAAGACCUGCCCAGUCCCAUCAUGCCCCGACAUGCCCUGCUGGCGGUGCCGUGUUCCUCUCGCCAUCCCCCGCGACCCCCGCCCCACGUGGACCUGACCGGAAACUUCUCAAACACCCCGGGGUGGUCGGACCCUGUAGUCACCCACCGCAGCAACUCGAUGCAGCACCGUCGCUAACUCACAUCCCGCCGCACCUGCGUACGAGCCUCGAUGCCCGACGUGUCUGUCGACCCGAAGCCCCGCCCCCUUUCAUCCCCUGAGACAGAACGGGAACUUCAACAGUUACAGGAAACGCGGGAGGAAAGAGAGCAGUGAUUAUUUCUGCCAACUGGUUUGACUCAGUAAAAAACAACUAACUCCUGAAAUCAAGCGAAAGUUCCACUUGAGCCAAGUGAAGUUCUCGACACAGCUCUACUCUGUUUGUCCUCAUCUGAAAGAGCACACAACUGCAGAACCAGCAGCUCGGCUAUUGUCCAUCCCUCGAGUUCCCUACCACCGCUCCUGUUGGCCUGAAGAUCUGAUGUUCGUGUGGGAAGAAGGGCCAAGCCGGUCUACCUGCCUCAGGAAGAUUAGCAGGAAACAGGAUGCAGUGUGAGAAAAAGCUCAGCGGACAACCAGCGGACGAGCAGGCGGCCGCGAGGGACAGGGAGCAGUGCGGAGACAGAGGACAAGCACGCGGGCGUGCACACGGGCGGGGGGCAGGAAGCCGGACCCGUUUCAGAGCAGCGCUCACGAUUUCACACCUUCACCCAUCACAUGGUAGGGCAAGAGAUAUUAUUAUCUACACACCACGCUUUGCAUCAGCACCAAAGGGCCUGCGAGCUGGGAGGGAGGGAGCAUGUAGAGGUCACGCAAAGUGCAGUUAGGGCUGUUGGGGGACCUUGGGCUAAAGUCUAUGUUAUGGGGGAUGGUAGGACUGGGGGGAAGAAUAUCUGUUGUCGAGGGGAUUUCUUCUCUCCAAUCUGCCGGAUCGAUGCGCGUGUCUGCCAGCCGGGUGGGAGCAGGAGGUGUGUGUGGUGGACGAGCGAAGGGUCAGUCAGGAGAGACUCAGACACAUGAAACAGAUGAAAGCUAGAGGUGAGAUCAGACCAUCACCCUGAGAGCACCAUCCCGCUGUCUUGGUUCACUUCCGUUCUUUUGGCUAAAUACACCCAGUUCUCCCAACACCACCCCACAUCCAGCCCACCCCACCGCAGCACUUCUUGCUGCUGUCCUGUGUCGCCCUGCCAUCCCGGUGACCUCAAUCCCCAUGCUCUCCUCGUCAGUUUGACCCCAAUCUCUUCUCCUUUCUGACAACAAUCCACGCGUCUAAUUGUGCAAAUCUGCCUUGGCUCCACCCUCUCAGUCCUGUCAUCUCCUGAGUGUUGUCAGUACAACAUGGUCCCACCUACCAUUUGGAGACACUAUUUAUGUGGCCACCUCAAUGCUGCUCAGCAAUAACAAAGAUACAUUGUUCGAAAAAUUGGAAAAGCAAAGUAAAGCUUUGCAUGAAAGAUGAACUGACGAAAUACAAAGAAUUCUGUUGAAAGGCAAUAUCAUUAGAAAUGACCGUGAGACAUAAUGUAGUCUUUAAAUGGUCCCCGGGACCUGAGAUCAUGCCAGCUUAGCUGCUGCCAUCGGUGUUAAGAGUCAAAACCCAGGUCCUGCUAGUCAAAUACCAUCCCAUUACGGUGGGGAAGGGGAGAUUCGGAAGUGUUCGGUAGUCAGGUGGCGGCAUAUGGAGAGAAGGGACAAUUCAAAGCGGCAAUGGGUCCCAUAAGUCCCACGAAACCCAGUCCCCACGGCACACACUCAUUACAUGCCAAUUAGGCGCCCUCUUUAUUGACACAGUGCAACCCUGGGUAUGAAAAGGAGGAAGUGCCACAGGCUGGCAGGAAGGAGAUUUGGGCCAUCUGAGACAGGGUACAGCCUGAAGAGCAUAGCGCAUGUCUGCGGAAGGAAAUGCUCAACAGGUUUCGACUCAGCAAUUCUGCGGAGGUGAGAACAGUGGUGUCUCACUGGUAACGUAAGGGAGAAGUUGCGCAGACCAUCAGUUGCCAUCAGAGGGAGCGCGACGCCUGGACGGUAACCCACUGGGGGCGGCGUCAGCCCAUCUGAACCUCUGUCUCGAACGAGAACGUGGUCCGUCCUGGUUCUGCCAAGUGGACUGGUCUCACUGCAGGAGCGGGCAGCUCAGAUAUAACGUCAGCGGGCACUUUGACAGCUCACAUGUAUCUGUGAUAACAGAAGUGACCAGAUUAUUCUUUACUACUCCUAUUCUUCACUUAGCUGAGGUCGUUUCUCCCGUAGAUGUAGACACAGACUGAUGCAAGUAAAAAACGGUGCUUACCGGGGUAGAAGGUAACCAGCCGAUGACAGACUGGAUAAAUGCGUGUUGCCAUCCCAUCAGCCUUUCUCAAAAAUAAUCAUUUAAUAAACAUUUAAUAAUUCAAUGCAGCACAUAUCAAGCAGCGUUCACAGCAGAGCGACACAGGACAGCAGGGCAAGCAAAAUGAAAGCAGUUGCUAAUGAGUUACACGGAAGUAAACCACUCGGCAAAUGAGGUGAGGAAAAGAAAAAAAUUCCCAGGCCAAGGAAAUGGAACGAAAAUGGAUCUGAGUCACAUUGCACAAGAAGGCAUCAUGAAACAAAUAAAACUUUCUGACAUAAACAAUCAGAAUGGCAUCGUUUUUCAGAAACAUGUCUCUACUUCCACCCGGUUUGUUGCUCCCUUUGGUAUCACGGUCUCUCUAUCAGCUGCCAGAGCGACUGAGUCCAUGGUUCGCGCCCACUGACGUGCCGAGGCGCGUGCUGCCACACACUUUCACGCUCAUUCACACAUUUCAUAAAGCGCAGAGGGUUGCGUGAAAAUCCAUUCGAAGAAAAUGCCAAUGGCGGAGAUCCACGGUGACCCGACCUCACUCCCAGGGGCGUUAUCUCCAGGGUGGAGAGAGGAGAUUACCAUCCAUCCAGUGCAUACAAUUUUUGCAUCAUCUGACUUCCCAGUGGUUCUGCUCCAUUCAUCU